rnacentral:sRNA from 1 species
GAGGCUAGGUGGGUAUUCACUCCCUCUCUCACUGCUUCAUGUGCGUCCCUCCGCAAGCUGCAUGCUCAGUGGAAGAGGACGACCACCCCUGAUGGAGGAGGACCGUUUCCUCAGUCAAAGGUAUACAUGUAGCUGUGCUCCCCUGCCAGGACCUCCAAAAAAGCUCUCAAAUAAAUCAGUGAUCUUACAGCAACUCUCAGGUGUCUUGCUU